UACAGAGGGGGCAAGCGUUGUUCGGAAUUACUGGGCGUAAAGGGCGCGUAGGCGGCCUGUUAAGUCGAACGUGAAAUCCCCGGGCUCAACCCGGGAACUGCGUCCGAUACUGGCAGGCUUGAAUUCGGGAGAGGGAUGUGGAAUUCCUGGUGUAGCGGUGAAAUGCGCAGAUAUCAGGAGGAACACCAGCGGCGAAGGCGGCG
rnacentral:rRNA from 1 species